UGUUCCUGUCUAGAUCCCCUUUUAGCGAGUGUGUCUGCUCUUUCUUUUCCAGGUAUGUUUGAGUGUCCGGGAAUCCCCUGCAUCACCAAGGUUGACGCCACAGGAUGUUAUCAGGAGCCAAACAGUGUAUAUGUCAACUCUUCGUUUAGAUGAUGGUCAUUUUCUAUUGCUUGCAAGACUGAUAGUAUGUUUGAGUGUCCGGGAAUCCCCUGCAUCACCAAGGUUGACGCCACAGGAUGUUAUCAGGAGCCAAACAGUGUAUAUGUCAACUCUUCGUUUAGAUGAUGGUCAUUUUCUAUUGCUUGCAAGACUGAUAGUAUGUUUGAGUGUCCGGGAAUCCCCUGCAUCACCAAGGUUGACGCCACAGGAUGUUAUCAGGAGCCAAACAGUGUAUAUGUCAACUCUUCGUUUAGAUGAUGGUCAUUUUCUAUUGCUUGCAAGACUGAUAGUAUGUUUGAGUGUCCGGGAAUCCCCUGCAUCACCAAGGUUGACGCCACAGGAUGUUAUCAGGAGCCAAACAGUGUAUAUGUCAACUCUUCGUUUAGAUGAUGGUCAUUUUCUAUUGCUUGCAAGACUGAUAGUGAGUUGUGAAGAUUACUAUACUCUGUGUUUUGGUUUUGUUUGGAUGAGGGUCAAACUGUGCGGAGAUGGUAUAGUGCUGUUUCAAUUGCUAUCCUUUUUGCAUCGUAGUUGUUGCAUUUCUCUCCACAGGCUGCUCAGAUCUCAUUGCAACUUCCAUCUGGUUACUGUAUUAGUAUUCCAUAUCCGCGUUUGGUUGUGCCUUUGAAUGCUGAGCCGUCUGUUUAGACGUGUAUCCAG